UAAUUAUUUGUCUAAACUGAAGAUUAAUUGUGAUUAUGCCAGUCGAGGAUGUCCUGAGUUUACCUGUGUUGAAGGUCUCAAAACUCAUGUUGCCAAUUGCGAGUUUGCUCCUGUGUUUUGUUCAAAUGAAAAUUGUGGCAUGGAGAUCAACAAGCAAGACCAGGUCCAUCACGAGACUGAAGUAUGUGGAUAUAGGAAAGUGAAAUGCCAUGAUUGUGGACAGACACGAAAAGUUGUGGGAACAUUGGAAGAAACAUUGAUGGAACUGGACGGGAAAGUGCAAACUGUGGAGAAAAAGAUGGAAAACAACCAUGCUGAAAUGAAAAAGAUUGUCGGGAAAUUAGAAGGCAGUUUAGUGGGAAUGAAUAAGAGGAUCAAUGAAGCAACGAAGAACCGCCAUGAUGAAAUAGUAGAAGCAAUAAAGAACCGCCAUGAUGAAAUGAAACAAGAGCAACACAAAGAAAUGGGAAUUUUGAAAGAAAAUCUUUCCAAAGUGAACAAAGACGUGGAUGAAGUCAAAGUCAUGAUCAGUCAAAUGUUAGAGAAGUUUAAUAUGCUUGAACUGCUCAGCAAACUGCCAUCUACGACCGAGGGAAUGUUCAACACACCUAAGGAAGAUAUUUUGAUUGCAGGUGGUAAUAAUGGCAACACGUUGGAAACUGCAGAAAUAUUUUCCUGGGAGAAAAACGGUUGGUAUGAAAUUUCGCAAAUGAAUAAAAGACAUUUUGGAGCUUCAUCAUUUAUUUAUAAUGAUCAGCUAUUUGUUGUUGGGGGAACGGGUACUAAGACAAUAGAAACCUUGGAUCUCAAUGAAUUACCUUUGAAAUGGAUGGAAUUUUCUGACGAACUUCCUUAUGAAAGUUAUGAUCAUCAAACUGUCGUUCACCAACAGCGUGUCAUUCACAUUGGUGGAUAUAAUCAUGAUGAGCGUAAAAAGUCUAACGUGAUUAGUGAAUUGCAACUUACCUCACCUUGCACACUGAAAGAGUUGUGCCAAAUGCCCCAGCCACGAAAUUGUCAUGGCGCUGAGGCGUUUGAAGAUAAAGUCUUGAUCUUGGGAGGACAAGAUGACAAUGAUGUUUCAGACAAUGUGUUGGAGUUUGAUCCAAAGAAGAAUAAAUGUAAGGAGCUGCCAUCAUUACCACAUCCCAUGGCAGCAAUGGCCACAGUUCGCUGGAGAGAUCAAGUAGUUGUACUUGGAGGUCAUGAUAAGGAUUAUGAAGUUUUGAAUGAUGUUUUCAUGUAUGACUGCAAGACGAGCAAGAUCACAGCCUUACCAUCCAUGUUGGAGAAGAGAUCUGAAUGUUGUGCAGUUAUUACUGGAAAUAUAAUUGUAGUCAUGGGAGG